rnacentral:rRNA from 1 species
UACGUAGGUGGCAAGCGUUGUCCGGAUUUACUGGGCGUAAAGAGCGCGCAGGCGGUCGGAUAAGUCGGGGGUGAAAGCCUGUGGCUCAACCACAGAAUUGCCUUCGAUACUGCAUGGCUUGAGACCGGAAGAGGUUAGUGGAACUGCGAGUGUAGAGGUGAAAUUCGUAGAUAUUCGCAAGAACACCAGUGGCGAAGGCGGCUGACUGGUCCGGAUCUGACGCUGAGGCGCGAAAGCGUGGGGAGCAAACAGG